AGGUACAGAAGAGGAGCGCUAACUAGGUAGUAAGUCUGAAGAGUCCAAGCUCUGAUGAUGACUUAUGAGGGAGAUUUGCGCCGAGAUAUUUGAGUAUUUGGAAUUACUCUAUGUCGGUCUAAUGGGCUGAAUCCCUUAGGUUGUCACCUGUUUAUUGGUGGAGAGCUUCUGGUGGU
rfam:Shewanella violacea DSS12 DNA, complete genome.